AUCACUUCUCGGCCUUUUGGCUAAGAUCAAGUGUAGUGAAGCUAAUCAGCUGUGUUCUCUGAAGCACAUAUGUAAGACUGGGAGGCUAUUCUCAGUUUAAUUUACAUAAGCACAUGAGUCAAAUGUCAAUAGGAUUUUUAACUCUCUAAUGAGGGGGUUAAAAAUCCUAAUUCUCU
rnacentral:snRNA from 2 species